rnacentral:tRNA from 6 species
GGAAGCUUGGCAGAGUCUGGCUUAUUGCACUAGUCUUGAAAACUAGCGAUCGUAGGAAUACGGUCCAUCCGUUCAAAUCGGAUAGCUUCCG